UACGGGAGGCAGCAGUGGGGAAUAUUGGACAAUGGGCGGAAGCCUGAUCCAGCCAUGCCGCGUGUGUGAAGAAGGCCUUUUGGUUGUAAAGCACUUUAAGCGAGGAGGAGGCUCUCCUAGUUAAUACCUAGGAAGAGUGGACGUUACUCGCAGAAUAAGCACCGGCUAACUCUGUGCCAGCAGCCGCGGUAAUACAGAGGGUGCGAGCGUUAAUCGGAUUUACUGGGCGUAAAGCGUGCGUAGGCGGCUGAUUAAGUCGGAUGUGAAAUCCCUGAGCUUAACUUAGGAAUUGCAUUCGAUACUGGUCAGCUAGAGUAUGGGAGAGGAUGGUAGAAUUCCAGGUGUAGCGGUGAAAUGCGUAGAGAUCUGGAGGAAUACCGAUGGGCGAAGGCAGCCAUCUGGGCCUAAUCUGACGCUGAGGUACGAAAGCAUGGGGAA
rnacentral:rRNA from 1 species